rnacentral:rRNA from 1 species
AGCAGCCGCGGUAAUUCCAGCUCCAAUAGCGUAUAUUAAAGUUGUUGCAGUUAAAAAGCUCGUAGUUGAAUUUCGAGAUCAAAUUGUCGGUCGUGCCUCGGUACGUACUGGCAUUAUUGAUUUCUCCUUUCUGAAGAACCAUGAUGUCAUUAAUUUGGUGUCUUGGGGAAUCAGGACUGUUACUUUGAAAAAUUAGAGUGUUUAAAGCAGGCUCACGCUUGAAUACAUUAGCAUGGAAUAAUGAAAUAGGACGUUUGAUUCUAUUUUGUUGGUUUCUAGGAUCGACGUAAUGAUUAAUAGGGAUAGUUGGGGGCAUUAGUAUUCAAUUGUCAGAGGUGAAAUUCUUGGAUUUAUUGAAGACUAACUACUGCGAAAGCAUUUGCCAAGGAUGUUUUCAUUAAUCAAGAACGAAAGUUAGGGGAUCGAAGACGAUCAGAUACCGUCGUAGUC